CCUACGGGAGGCAGCAGUGAGGAAUAUUGGACAAUGGGCGCAAGCCUGAUCCAGCCAUGCCGCGUGCAGGAAGACGGUCCUAUGGAUUGUAAACUGCUUUUGUACAGGAAGAAACACUCCCUCGUGAGGGAGCUUGACGGUACUGUAAGAAUAAGGAUCGGCUAACUCCGUGCCAGCAGCCGCGGUAAUACGGAGGAUCCAAGCGUUAUCCGGAAUCAUUGGGUUUAAAGGGUCCGUAGGCGGUUUAAUAAGUCAGUGGUGAAAUCUGGUCGCUCAACGAUCAAACGGCCAUUGAUACUGUUAGACUUGAAUUAUUAGGAAGUAACUAGAAUAUGUAGUGUAGCGGUGAAAUGCUUAGAUAUUACAUGGAAUACCAAUUGCGAAGGCAGGUUACUACUAAUGGAUUGACGCUGAUGGACGAAAGCGUGGGGAGCGAACAGGAUUAGAUACCCUGGUAGUCCACGCCGUAAACGAUGGAUACUAGCUGUUCGGAGCAAUCUGAGUGGCUAAGCGAAAGUGAUAAGUAUCCCACUGGGGAUACGUUCGCAAGAAGAGAAAGUAAGUAAGUAGUAGCGUGAGAGAGACGACGGACGACGACGAGGGAGGAGG
rnacentral:rRNA from 1 species